GACGAACGCUGGCGGCGUGCUUAACACAUGCAUUUCGAACGGAAAGGCCCUGCUUUUGUGGGGUGCUCGAGUGGCGAACGGGUGAGUAACACGUGAGUAACCUGCCCUUGACUUUGGGAUAACUUCAGGAAACUGGGGCUAAUACCGGAUAGGAGCUCCUGCUGCAUGGUGGGGGUUGGAAAGUUUCGGCGGUUGGGGAUGGACUCGCGGCUUAUCAGCUUGUUGGUGGGGUAGUGGCUUACCAAGGCUUUGACGGGUAGCCGGCCUGAGAGGGUGACCGGCCACAUUGGGACUGAGAUACGGCCCAGACUCCUACGGGAGGCAGCAGUGGGGAAUAUUGCACAAUGGGCGGAAGCCUGAUGCAGCAACGCCGCGUGCGGGAUGACGGCCUUCGGGUUGUAAACCGCUUUCGCCUGUGACGAAGCGUGAGUGACGGUAAUGGGUAAAGAAGCACCGGCUAACUACGUGCCAGCAGCCGCGGUGAUACGUAGGGUGCGAGCGUUGUCCGGAUUUAUUGGGCGUAAAGGGCUCGUAGGUGGUUGAUCGCGUCGGAAGUGUAAUCUUGGGGCUUAACCCUGAGCGUGCUUUCGAUACGGGUUGACUUGAGGAAGGUAGGGGAGAAUGGAAUUCCUGGUGGAGCGGUGGAAUGCGCAGAUAUCAGGAGGAACACCAGUGGCGAAGGCGGUUCUCUGGGCCUUUCCUGACGCUGAGGAGCGAAAGCGUGGGGAGCGAACAGGCUUAGAUACCCUGGUAGUCCACGCUGUAAACGGUGGGUACUAGGUGUGGGGUCCACUCCACGGGUUCCGUGCCGUAGUUAACGCUUUAAGUACCCCGCCUGGGGAGUACGGCCGCAAGGCUAAAACUCAAAGGAAUUGACGGGGCCCCGCACAAGCGGCGGAGCAUGCGGAUUAAUUCGAUGCAACGCGUAGAACCUUACCUGGGUUUGACAUGGAUCGGGAGUGCUCAGAGAUGGGUGUGCCUCUUUUGGGGUCGGUUCACAGGUGGUGCAUGCCUGUCGUCAGCUCGUGUCGUGAGAUGUUGGGUUAAGUCCCGCAACGAGCGCAACCCUUGUUCACUGUUGCCAGCACGUUAUGGUGGGGACUCAGUGGAGACCGCCGGGGUCAACUCGGAGGAAGGUGGGGAUGACGUCAAGUCAUCAUGCCCCUUAUGUCCAGGGCUUCACGCAUGCUACAAUGGCUGGUACAGAGAGUGGCGAGCCUGUGAGGGUGAGCGAAUCUCGGAAAGCCGGUCUCAGUUCGGAUUGGGGUCUGCAACUCGACCUCAUGAAGUCGGAGUCGCUAGUAAUCGCAAAUCAGCAACGCUGCGGUGAAUACGUUCCCGGGGCU
rnacentral:rRNA from 1 species